UCUCAACUGCACCAGAAGGCCUGACAGUUAAGAGAACCCAGUGAAGAAACCUUUUGCAGAGAGAGAAAAGAACCCUUUUGAAUGUGAUCAAUCACGCUGAUUUAUUUGGAUGAUUUCUCUUCUGGAUUUCCUUAAACCAGGGAAAACCCAGGAGACAGAGGUCUUGCUAUGUUGCCCAGGCUGGUCUCAAGCUCCUGGCCUCAAGCGAUUCUCCUUCCUCAGCCUCCAAAAGUGCUGGGAUUACAGGGCUUUGCUGAGACAGGAAUGAGUGGCAGAAAAUGACUGAUUGUCUCUGGGUUACAGCCUCAACCGCUAGGGAUCCCUUGGCUUUUUGGGUGCAAGUCCUCCCUGCAGGACAUACAGACUGCAUCUUUCUGCCUCCCUACCCCACCCCGUACCCGCUGAGUGCUAUCUUCAUAACCGGGAGGCUGAGCUGGAAGUCAGCAGGCAGCCCCUCUGGCCAGGCAGUGCAGGAUGCGAUGUUCCAAACCACACCCAGAUCUGCACCCUGAGGCCCCUCGUUGUGUGGGGUAGUGGGCAAUGCCCAGGUCUGGUGUCAGACAGGCAAGGUUCACACCUCAAUGCUGCCAUUUCCAGUUAUGUGACCUUGGGAAGGUUACCUGCUUUUCCUGAGCCUUUAUUAUUAAAAAUUUAUUAUGAAAUUUCAUUUCAAAAUGCACUAACAUGGUAGCCACUAAGCACACGUGGCUAUUGAACGCUUGAAACGUGAUGAGUCUGCAUUGAGAUGUGCCGCGAGUAUAACACACCUGGAUUUCCUCCCUCCCCAGGUGCAACAGUGACCCGUGACGCAGUAGGGAGGGCUGUUUUCCAUGCCCAGUGAGGCCUGCUCAGCUCCCAUUAGGCCUUUAUGGAUGGCCUGCCUCCCAGCUGGUACCUGGUCCCGUCACAGUCCCAGGACUCUAGACCUCGAGGCAGCCAGGUGGGUGCUACAGAUGGUGACCUCUCGGUGGCACAGCCUGGCGCUGCAGCAGAAUGCAGGGUUGGGGGCGGGGUGAAGAAUGGAGUCUGGAUUGUGCCAAAACAGGAGUUUCUAUGUCUGGUCCUGCCACCGACUGCACCUGCAUUGCUGCGUGACCUUGACAGCUACUCCUUCCACACCUGAACGUCCUCAUCUGGAAACUGGACUUGCCUCCUAGGGUUCCUGCAAAUAUAAAAUGAGCUAAUGCCUUUGAGGUGUUUGCUAUUGUCCUGGCACUUGGCAAACACAUGAUAAAUAUUAGCAAUCACUUGCGAGGGGGUGUGGGGUUCGGGGGAGCUUUGCCCCUCCUCCCCCUCUCCAGGGCUGAGCAGCAGUGAAGAGCUUUCUGCAUAAGAGAGAGCAAGAGAGAUAAAUAAACCCACAUCUUCCUCUGAAAGAGGCUCCUGCUGGCUGGCUGCUCACCUGACCAAGUCUCCCUCCCAGCCUGUCUUCACUCUUUGGUCCACCCUCAAGGGAACCAGGUCACACAGCCUCAGCACUUCCUGCAUGCCAGUCUCUAGCUGGUGCCUUCCACUGGCUGAACCCCAUAAGAAACUAGAGGGCGGCCGGGUGCCGUGGUUCAUUCCUGUAAUCCCAGCG
rnacentral:lncRNA from 1 species